rnacentral:lncRNA from 1 species
AUCUUUCCAGCCGGACUGCAAGAAUACUUCAUCGGUAUCAUUAUUGCCUACUCCAAUGCUCCAUGUUUUGCCACUUGGGGACUUCAAACUCACGACCUCCGAGAUGUGGCCGUUGAAAUUGUUUGCAAAUCUAGCAGGUAUGCUCUGCAACAAGAAUAGAUCUUUUGUGACGCGUUUCUUCCUUUUCCUUUACACCAAUAAUCUUGCUUCAGUUUACAAUGGAUAUAGUACAUGCAACCAGAAAGCUAUUGAGAUGUGGAUACUGAAACUAGCAUCUAAUAUUGUGUAACGCUGCAUAUAUGAAGAAACAGCAGCAUUCCUUGCAUAUACUGACAUGCAGGCCCAAAAAUAGUAGUAAUCUACAUUUAUUCAGAAACAAUAACCAACCAAGUUCAUUCCUGUGGCAGAUUAACAAGUGGAGGAAAACUGAGUGGAGAGAGCUUGAGACUGUUCCUGACCAUGGUUUCAGCGAAGCCCCCAAC